rnacentral:tRNA from 4 species
GACACUGUAGUCUAGUGGUUUAGGAUACUCCCCUUCCAAGGGAGUGACACGGGUUCGAAUCCCGUCAGUGUCA